ensembl:lncRNA
GGAGUUCCCAGUUAGGCUGAAGAUUCUUGGUGAUUAUUCUCCUGCUGAUGUUUCUUAGAGAAGGCACAGCCUUGUUCUGUAGAGGGAGGGUGGUGACAGGGCCACAGAGCUCCACAGAUGAUCCCCUCCUGACAAUUCAUGGGUGAUUUCCUGAGACAGAAUUGCAGACAUGGCACUGCCAGUUUCAGUAGUGGAAGACGUAACUUUGAUCAUGGAUUCUAUUAUGGGAGGAAUUCAGACAAGGUACAGUGGGGGUGACUCAUCUCUGAGGGGCUGCCUCAAACAGGUAGAGAAUGGAACAGCAGGGCCUGGCUCUUCACUUUUCACCCGAUGGCUUUUCCCUCACAUGCCCGGCACCUGGACUGAGUCAACUCAAGCCAGCGCUUAGUUGGGAGGGUUGACCAGAAACCAAAACGUGCUUUCACCCUAGGAUUUGCACUUCCCAUGGAAUGGACGCUGGCUACCUACAGACUGCAACCCAAGGGGGAGCACCCGAUAAACAUGUGAGCUGCAGAAACCAGGUGGAAGCUGUAGAGACUAAAAUGGCUACACAGCAUCACUACUGCCAGGAAGACACAGCCAUCCCUGAUUCAAGGGGAGGGCACUUAGAACCCCAUAUUUGAUGUGCUGGAUGGCCAAGAAUCAGUGAGCACUUUUUAAAGUUGCCACUUGCAGCUGCACUCACUAGAUUGUCCCUCCACGGCUUAAUAUCACAAUGAAUGAAAGCAUGUGUCAGCGUUCCUGGAAAAAAAAAAAAAAGGUUUCCAAAAUGCACAGCACUUCUCCAAUAUCUUCAGGAGCUCGGCAGAGAACUGUGCAGGCACAAAGGAAUGCCAGAUCACAGAUAUUAUUGAUUACUCUAGGAGGGUCAACCUAAGAUUAGCUGUCAUCCAGUCCCUUGGAAUGCUGAGUAGCUCAGCGAUUACCCGUAAGAAGACAGACAACAGACAGUCAACUGUGGUAUGUUUUGUUGUUAAGAAGGAGGAAAACGAGAAUAUUGAUUGGUUCAUUCAGCUCAAGUGGCUAUUGUUCACCUUGAAGAUACACAUUUCACAAAGAAAAUAAACAACCAUGUUCAACCAACUGCUCUCGUCUUUGAAACAACUGUCUUGUCCAUUUGGUGUGUCUCACUAAAGCAAUCUUCAAAAUAGUCAACAUGUGGAAGCAACCCGAGUGUCCACCAAUGGAUGAAUGAGAAACAGGAUGUGAGAUACAUCCCAUGGAAUAGUAUUCAGCCUUACAAUGGAGAAUAUUCUGACCCAGGCUACAACAAGGAUGGACCUGGUAAAUGUGAUGCUCAGUGAAAUAAGCCAGUCACAAAAAGACAGAUACUGUAUGAUUCCAUUUACAUGAAGUCCCUGGAGGAGUCAAGUUCAUAGAGACAGAAAAGACAACGGUGGUUGCCAGGGGCUGGGAGAGGGGAAAGGGGAGUUAGUGCCGACAGAGUUUCAGUAUUGCAAGAUGAAAAGAGUUCUCGAGAUUGGUUGCACAGCAGUGUGAAUGUACUUAUCACCAUUGAACUUAAAAAAUGGUUACGACUGGCUGGACCCAUGGCCAAGUGAUUAAGUUCACCUGCUUCGAUUUGGGUGCCCGGGGUUUCACCAUUUCGCAUCCUCGGCUUGGACUGGCACGGCUCAUCAGGCCAUGCUGAAGCUGCAUCCCUCAUAGCAGAACCAGAAGGAUCUACAACUAGCAUAUAUAACUAUGACCUGGGGGGCUUUGGGAAGAAGAAGAAUAAUAGAAAAAAGAUUGGCAACAGAUGUUAGUAAAGAUGCCAAUCUUUAAAAAAAAUGGUUAAGAUGGUAAACAAGUUCCAUGUAUUUUAACAAAAUUAACAAUUUUUUUAAAAAGGCAUCAGAGUUACUAGUCCCUCUUUCUGAAAUCAUUUAUGCUUAUACUCCUUCCUCCGUUUGAGAUCUCUACUUAAAUGCCCUCCACCACCCUCUGCCUGGACCAUGUGCUAUGUUUCCUUAUAACUGUCAUCAACACCUGCAAUCUUCUAGGUUGUGAGUUCAUUGGCUUAUUUCCUGUCUCCCUACUUGGGAACAGAAGCUCUGUGGACCAGUACCUGAGUGGGUCACUGCUUUCUCUGCUACAGGCCAGAAUAAUGGCCUUCCUCGGGCCUGGACUCAAUAGGGAGCUACUGAAGGCACAGCAACCUUUGGGUUAGCACUUGGGAAACUCCAGGCUUUCUGGACAGCACACAUGAGGGUAAAUGACUGCAGUGCUUGCUGCUAUAAUUUCCAAUAAUUAAUUUAUAGAAAUCUGAAGACACCCCUUCGUCCCAAAGAGAAGGGACUAGUCUCCUAACACUGUUACCAGAUGGCCACAGUUUGGACAGGGUUAUCAAGUGGGGUCCUUGAGUGCACAUGUAUCCUGCUAGGAAGGAUUUAAAAAGGAGCUCUCAUACAUUUCCACUCUGAUAUCUUUCUGCUCAUAGUAGCUCUUUCUUCAAUUGUGGGACUAGCUAAUAUUGAACCAUACCUCAGGGGCAGGGGGGAAGCAACCCAGAAUUCAUUGAAAUAAGUGUUGUGAUAAAGAACAGUGCUCAGUGGCAUAUCACCACAGCAAUGCAAUGCUCAUCAUUUGCCAAAAUAAAUGCACUCAUGGAGACCCAAAUAAAGAACCGACACACACUGACUAAAUUAAAACAAAUGCAUGAAUAGUGGGAGAGACACUGGCGUCUUUCCUUCAGGCAGGAUGCUGCCCCCUCUGACACUUGCAGAAACUCUGGGAUAUCACCUCUAGUCCUGCCCUUUCACCCACUUUUAUGAGGAAAACCUGCCAUUCUUGUUUCUUGCAGUUAGAACAGCUAUCGGAUAGGGGGUCACAGAGCUUUGCCAUUUCUCUUUCCCUCUCUACGUGGAUGGAUUUGCGGGCUUUUGUGUGGCUUAAUGGGCUUACAGGAGGCACAGGGAGGAGAGAAUUUCUGGAGAGAAAACUACAGGAGGAAAGGCCAAGAGCCGUGCUGCCGCCGUUCACAUUUGGGGGUCUGAGUCUCAGUCCCUUCUGUGCCUCAGUCCAUAGAACCUCAUAUUGUCCCCUAAGAAUAUUAAGGUGGAGACUAAAAAAUACGGACAGUAAGAAUAAUAAUACCUAUUAUUACAGUGUGCAGCAACGAGCGCGUGUGACUUUGGCUAUGCAAGGCAAUGCCUAAAAUCCCCUUGGAAUGACACAGUGGGAUGUGGAAUCCAAGUGAUUACACUUCAGGAGAUUUUCCUAGGGUGCAUUCUCAAUGGGGGUGAUUUUGCCCUAAAAGGGCAAAAAAGUGGUUCUUCGUGGGUGAAAAAACUCACAUUCUUGUAUCUUCCAAGCCCAGAUAUCCAUAGUGCACAUAACCAUGUAUACAGUUAUUUGUUGUGUUAAGAUUUCAUGGAGUGGGUGCUGGUUAAAAAAACGAUUUGAAAAGGCUGCUUGGGUGGGGGUGGGGGUAUGAUGGUUAGUUUUCUGUGACAACUGGACAGGGCAGUGGAGUAACCAAGCUUCUGACAGUUGUUGCAUUGUACUAGCCUUAAAGAUGAACACCAAGUUCAUUUAACUUUGAAGAAACUGACCAUUGUAAUAUUGUCCAAAAAGACCCUUAUUUUAUAGAGUGAUUCAUUGGGUUUCUUAAAAGAUAAUAACCUGAUAAAGAUCUGUUUUCACUAGGUUCAGUAAGCACUCUUCUAUGAGCUUUCCAUAGAUAUGAAAUUACCUAAUAUUCAUAAUAAAGUCAGAGGUAUGGACAUACCCAGGACAAUCCCAGCCCUCAUCUCUAAAGGGAACUUCUAAAUGGUGUGCCCUCCAGCAAGGCCUCUCACCCACUUCUGAGCCUGGGACACAAUGAAGAUCAGAGGUUUUCUCGACAGUAUCUUGGCAUUUACAUUUGUGGUCGACAUCUCUCAAAGCCUAAGACAGAGAUCUUUGAGUCCUUCCACAAGGAACAGGGAGGAGAUGUGCUGGGGAAGAAGGUGACUUGCUUGACAAUCAUCUGGGAAAAAGUGAAGGACACGGUUUUUUCUAAGAAUGGAUGAAUAUCCAUGAGGUGCAUGUCACACGAGACAUGCAGGCUUGAUUCAAACAACCCUGCAGCCAGGUCCUGAACAUCUUUUCUAGAAGUGUGGGAAAAAUGAGUAAUGUGCCCAAGGUCUGAAAGAUCUUCAGGAUACAUCGCUGCCAACCAGGAUGCUUAUUUUCAGCGUUACAGAAUGAUCUCUUAUGAUGACUGACAAGUGGAUUCACCACAUCCACAAAUAAUAGUAUAUAAAGAGGUAAAAAUUCAGAAUUUCACCCAUAGGUAACCCCUUCUGAGCUCCUUCAGAAGAGGAAACAACUGCCAAAGAGAUGAAGAUUCUACAGUUCACCUUUGGACUUGCUCUGGUUGGCACUGACCAGAUACCUCCAUCAAAUGAAGACCUCGCAAAGGAAUCUGAGAAGAAGGUCACCUGUGUGUCUGUGUGUGCGUCUGUGUUUGUGUGUGUCCCUUUUGGGGUUGUUUUAUGUGUAUACAAAUUUAUGUGCACCUAAGCCUAGCCAUCUUCCUCCAACUCAGAAGCACUCUAUUAAUUGGCUGCUUACACAAUCCUGCUGUACUUGUCUUAUAUUGUCUCUGUAUUGUCUAUAUUAUCUAUUAAUUGGAUCCUUAUGCAUUUCAACCGUACUUGCAUAAGAUGGAGAACAAGCCAGAGAAUUGCUGGACUGGAGUUCUGCUUUGAUAACAGAACUGAAACUAUUUCAGAAAUAUCUCUAUUUCUCGUUUUACAGUUGACUUGGGUUUUUACAUUAUUUUAUAAAUCCUGCUUUGUCCAAUAAUGAUAGACAGUGCUGGUGGAAAAAGAAAGGAAAACUCAUAAUGGAUGAUGUCAGAGAAAAUAAAAAAGAAUGACUGAAAUUUCUUUUUAGUUUUCUUUUUAGUUUUCAGGAGAAUGGAAAAGGUCUUACAUAGCAUUCAGUAAUAGAGUGAAGAUCAAUGAGAAUGGACCAUUAGAGAAGUUUGUCCAUAGUGUUGAUUUUUGACACUGUAGACAGCAUUAUCAACUUGAAAUUUCUGACCAGGUAAGUAAAAAUAACACAGAAUAAAAUCACUCAUAAAUGUUCAACCCUGAGAGAAGGUCUUUGUUACUUGCAUGUUUGCACUGAAAGAUCUUGAUUAUGUUCAAGAACGUGACUCUCUGAGUUGUGUGCUUGGAAGAGUCUUUGAAGUGGUGGCGUAAGUUCCACCACCAUCCUCUAGAGAAUGUCCUGGAGAAUCUCAUGGAGAGCAAAGUGGCACGGUUGCUCUAAUGGAACCAUCUCAUUCAAAAAAGAGGGACAAAAGCAGCCAAAAGGGUAUAUUUUCCUCAAACCCUACAGAUCCUGACCACUAGCCUGAAUCUUUCAUGCGGAAUUUGUAAAACGUGGUUCACUUCUAGGGCAACUGUGUUCCAGAAGAGUGUGAGCAGGUGGAUAACGCAAAAUGAUCUCUUCCCUGAAGAACUUACUUAUAGCAAUUUUUAAUCAUUAAUAAAUUCAUUAAAGCCUUCAUUGCUUCAAGGAUUAUUUAUGGAAUGCACACCAUAUUGCAGGCAUUUUAUUAAGAAUUCAAAUGACUUAUUUCACUUAGCAUCAUACCCUCUAGAUGCAUGCAUGUUGUCACCAAUGACAGGGUUUCGUUCCUUUCCAUGGAUGACUUAUUAGUUGUUCCAUGUAUAUAUAUACCACAUAUUCUUUAUCCAUUCAUCUAUUGAUGAACACACAGGUUCUUUUCAUAUCUUAGCUAUUGGAAAAAAUGCUGCAGUGAACAUAGCAGUGCAUAUAUCUUUUGAAUUUAUGUUUUUGUUUUCUUCAGAUAAAUACCCAGAAGUGUAAUUUCUGGAAGGUAUGGCAAUUCUUUCUUUAAGUUUUGGAGAAACCUCCAUGCUGUUUUCCAUGGCGGCUGUAUCGAUUUACAUUCCCACUAAGAGUGCACGAGGGUUCUCUUUUGUCCACAUCCUCACUAACACUAGUUAUUUGUUUUCUUUUUGAUAACAGCCAUUCUGACAGGUGUGAGAAUGUGGAUUUGAUUUGCAUUUCCCUGAUGAUGAGUGACAUUGAGCAUCUUUUCAAGUGUUUGUUGGCCAUCUGUAUGCCUUCUUUGGAAAAGUGUCUAUUUAGGCCCUCGGCCCAUUUUAUAAUCAAAUUUUUGAUUUGGGGUAUUAUGUUGUAUAAGUUCUUUAUAUAUUUUGGAUAGUAACCCCUUAUCAGAUAUGACAUUUGCAGGAAUCUCCUCCCAUGCAGUUGGUUGAUUUUUUGUCUUAUUGCUGAUUUCCUUCACUGUGCAAAACUUUUUUUUUGAUAUAGCUUCAUUUGUUUAUUUUUCUUUUGUCACCCUUGCUUGAAGAGAUAUAUCCAAAGAAAUAUUGCUCAGACUGAUGUCAAAGAGCUUUACUACCUAUGUUUUAUUCUAGGCAUUUUAUGGUUUCAGGUCUUACAUUAAAUCUUGAAUCCAUUUUGAGUUUGUUUUUGUAUAUAGUGUAGGAAAGUGGUCCACAACCAUUAGUCUCUCCAACAAGGGCAAAUAUUCCAAUGUGCUUACUUAGGGUUUUUUUUAAACAUAUUCUUAAAAUUAGGAAUCUUUCAUAUAAAUACAUGUAUUUUGAAAUUUAUAUAAAGUUAUAAAUUAAAAAAAAGAAGUGAAAUGAGGAAGAGAAGAUGAAGAAACUUUUUUGGGGGGAGGCUUUCAUUGGUCAAAAUAGAGUCAGGGAUAAUGAUUUUAAACUAAUAACAAUACUGACUGUGAAAAUCGAUAAUAAUAGCAUAAAUGAUGUGGAAAGAGGGGACCAAAAAAUGAAAAAUGAUGACAGUGUGGGAGACUAAACAGUUAUACCAGAAAUAUGACAUGUGUAAGAUGCUUUUGAAGGUGGAAUGAGCCAUUUUUAUUUUAUUUUUUUAAAUAUAUUUUCAGUUCAGAGUGUUGCACUGCCUUUCACUUUUCCAUAAAUGCUAAGCAUGUUCCCAGGAAUCUAUCAGAGUUUUUUUUCUUUAAGGGAAGUCUUUUUUUUUAUUUAAGAUUGGCACCUGAGCUAAGAUCUGCUGCCAAUCUUAUUUUUUUUUCUCCUCCCCAAAGUCCCCCCCAGUACAUAGUUGUAUAUUCUAGUUGUAGGUCCUUCUGGUUGUGCUAUGUGGGACACCUCAGUAUGGCCUGAUGAACGGUGCCAUGUCCACGCCCAGGAUCUGAAUUGAUGAAACCUUGGACCGCUGAAGCAGUGCGGGCAAACUUAACCACUCGGCAAUGGGACCAGCCUCACAUGUAAUUGUUAUAUAUACUGUGUGCACAAAAUUUCCAUAUAUCAUAUACGCACAUCAGCAUUUUUGCAUGUUUGAUUUUGUGUGUGUGCAGUGUGUUUGUAUACAUGCAAGUGACUUGGUGUUUACUUUUCUUAAAGUGUUUUCACAUAAGAAGCUUCUGUUUUGAUUAAAUUAAAACCAUAACAUUUUUCUCGUGUUUGUUGUUCUUUGUUGUCUAUUAUAUUAUCUAAGAGAUCUUUGCCAGCGCUGUGAGAAGUACUAAGGCCUGUUUUGAUAGCUAUACCCCUCAGCUUCGAGAAAAUAUUUAAAGCAAGGGCUUGUAUUUUUCCUCCUUCUCUAAAAUUUUGCGUUUCUCUAUGUUCUCUUGGCUUUAAACACAACCUGUUUCGUAUCUG